UACGGGGGGAGCAAGCGUUGUUCGGAUUUACUGGGCGUAAAGGGCGCGUAGGCGGCCACCGCAAGUCGGUUGUGAAAUCUCCGGGCUUAACCCGGAACGGUCAAUCGAUACUGCGGGGCUAGAGUGCAGAUGGGGCAACUGGAAUUCUCGGUGUAGCGGUGAAAUGCGUAGAUAUCGAGAGGAACACCUGCGGCGAAGGCGGGUUGCUGGGCUGACACUGACGCUGAGGCGCGAAAGCUAGGGGAGCGAACGGG
rnacentral:rRNA from 1 species